rnacentral:rRNA from 1 species
UACGUAGGGUGCAAGCGUUGUCCGGAAUUAUUGGGCGUAAAGAGCUCGUAGGCGGUCUGUCGCGUCUGCUGUGAAAACUCAGGGCUUAACCCUGAGCUUGCAGUGGGUACGGGCAGACUAGAGUGCGGUAGGGGAGACUGGAAUUCCUGGUGUAGCGGUGAAAUGCGCAGAUAUCAGGAGGAACACCGGUGGCGAAAGGCGGGGUCUCUGGGCCGUAACUGACGCUGGAGGAGCGAAAGCAUGGGGAGCGAACAGG